UCCUUGAGCCACAGGUGCCGCCCAUCCUUCUGCAAUCUUCACGUUAUUUCAGAUCCGCCCACUCCUGAUAGAGGGUGUUGAAGCCUCCAACUGUGAUAGUGAAUUCAUCUGUUCCUCCUGAAGGCUCUGAAGGAGUGUGUUCGAGUGGGGAGACCAUCCAGGAGGCAGGGGACCAAAAAUGUUUCCUGGGCUCCUGCCACAUGUAUCAGGAGAGCCGCAGGGGACAGAUCACUUACUGGCAUUUCUGCUCUUCUGAGAUGAGAGCAUCUGCUGGGCGACUGUCACCACCACUGCCACUGCUCUUAGUACCGUCCCUACCAUGUCCCUAUCAUUACUACCACUACUAACCCUAUGUCUACCACUAUGACUACUAUGAAUAUUAUUACUGCCACCACUAUUACUAAUGAAAGAACCAGACCAGCGCCAUCUUAAGGAGUUACGUUUCACCCCCCAACCCCCGCCCUCUAGUUUCACCUUCCAGGCAAGCCCGGGCAUCAUGAGACAACUGACCAAUCCAGAAGUGCCCCCUUUGUUUCAAGCUGU